rnacentral:rRNA from 1 species
UUUAACGGAGAGUUUGAUCCUGGCUCAGGACGAACGCUGGCGGCGUGCUUAACACAUGCAAGUUGAGCGGAGAUGGAUUGAGAGACUUCGGUUGAUUGGUACAUUUCAGCAGCGGACGGGUGAGUAA